GACGGUUGUACUUCUAUUUUUGUUGGGUCUGGCGGUUGUAUCCCAAGGUCUUAUUUUUCCCAAUUGUUUUGGCGUCUUUCCUCUCGGAGUCGGUGACACAGGUGCGCAGACUGCAUGUGGCUUCCUUAUUUUCCCAGCCUGAACGAGCUCUGAGGCACUAUUUUUUUAUUAGAAUGUCUAUCAUAUCCCAUUCUCCACCUCCAAACCACCAGUCAUCCUCUUCUUGAGAAUGAAGCAUCCUAGCUUACCUGGUCAUUUUCUCUCUGGAAUCUCCAGUGGAGUAUACCAUAUGCAGAAGCAAUGUAUAACUAAAGCACUUCAUUCAUAGCUGAGUUCCUUCAAGAGACUAAGAUGGUGAUAAUAGGUCUCUGAAAACGAAAUGUAUAAAUUUAGCUCAUCUGCAGAGGAACACUAAACCGAGUUCUUGGGUUGGAGAACUAUGAAUGAUGUGCAUUUACAGAGCUAUGGAAAAAGAACCAGAGUGCCCACAUUGAUUUUCUUCAUCUUCUUACCUUUGUGCCUGGGGCUUCAGUUUCAUGUGCUCCAGUUCGGUUGCAUGACUGCAUGCUAAUAAUUCAUACCACUGGCCAGUGUUCUCCCUUCCUGCCUCAUUCACCCCACCUCCGCCUGGAUGAACAGAAAAGGAAUAGGAUAGAUGACCUGGGGAGAUGGUACUUCGCAUUCAGACGUCAUCUCGCUCCCAUCCAGUACAGUCGGAAUUCUCAUGGGGAGUUCUUCCCCUAUUGAUGGUAUUUUAUCAGCCUUUCCUCUGGCGGCGAUCCACACCUUCUCGAACUCCCUCUGGAUCCCCCCUUCCAGAACAAUUGUUCUUGUGAUGGUAUUGGAGAAGUGGGCAAUACGAUGCAACCAACGAGCCUGAACAUUUGGAAUUUGGCUUGCCGUCCUUUGUGCUGGAGAACAGGAUGGCGUCACGUACUGGGAGAUAAGUGAAGCCAGCCCUUCACUGCUGAUCUUAUUGAAAGGUCCAAGGAAUGGAGGUAUGAGGCGUUCGCUCCGGCGUGAUCGGCCGCAUACAGCAACCGUGGGACUGCAUACACCUUCAAGAUUUCAACCUUCUGAAGUGGUUUCAAUGGGGCUUCCCCGAUGUCCUUCACCCAUGUGCCCAGCUUUUCCUGCAGCUCUGGUUGGGAGGGACCAAUCCAAGGGUCAGCUCCCAGGCCCAAAUAUUUCUCAGAGCUGUCAGGCUCAAUUAGAUGUAAUUGAGCUCCAUCAAUCGUCCACAGGUCGCAGUUGUUAAUUGUAUGUGAGUCUUUCAUGGGCCUUAUAAAGAACCGUGGCAUUUCGCUGCAUGCACCUUCAGCCCGGUUUGAUGGCAAAAUUCUUCCACCACUUGAAUAUUCUUUUGCAUACCGUCCCACGAGUCGCUCAGCAGCGCAAGAUCAUCUGCGAAUGCCAGUGUUGACACAGAGCUGUUCUUGUGUCUAAAGCCUUCUUUACCAUCUUCUAAUCGACACAAUAACAGGUCCAAUGAUAGGUUAAAGAGAAGCGGGGACAUCGGGUUGCCUUGCUUCAUGCCAGCGAGGAUCUUAACCUUUUCCGAGUGGGUUCCUCCAGCCGUGUCGCACUGUUGUUAUACAUUUCGGCAAUGAUGUUGAUAAUACGUCCAUCGACAUCUUUUUACCUGAGGACCUGGAAGAUGUGUUGAUGGUGGACUGAAUCAAAGGCUUUCGCCAGGUCCACAAAGACGACCCCAAGUGAUUUAUGUUCUUUCUUCGCGUAUUUGAUCAACAUCUGGAGGUGCUUGAGAUUUUCCGCACAGUCCGGGGCUGCAAUAAACCCUCUUUGGCGGCUGUUAAUUGGACAUGCUCUUCGUAGCCGUGCUGUUAGGAUCUGGGAAAACAGUCGCAAAAUAAUCGACCUGAUGGUAACGGGUCGCCAGUUGUUGAUAUCUUCUAUCUUCCCAGGAUCUGCGAAUUUGGGUAGCAGGAUCGUUCUGCACUCCUUGAUGUCAUCAGGGAUGUUCCCGGCCAAAAGCCACAGAUUGAACAAAUCGGCUAGUUGACUACCCUGAGGGUCCUUUUUUAAGAUGUCCCUCAGACUUAAGCCAUCAGGCCUGGAGGCCAAGUUCUUAUUCGCCUUGGCCAUGUUCUUCCGGACUUCCGCUGGGGAAAUCAUCUUCUUAAAAGCAGAAUUGUCUGCUACCCCUGCGCUGUGGAAAGCACCCAGACUGAGAAAGGGUCUUCCCACUUCUUUCUGAAUGAGUUGUAAAGUUCAUCCAUUGGAAGGGGGCACUUAAGUGCUUUGAUGUUAUGCAAGAUGUUACCAGCCAGCUUCUUACGAUCCAUCUCGGAGAGCCGCUGGUAUCGGUACUGGCCCCGUUUCACCACCCUUGUCUUCAUGCACUUCUUCUCCACCUUUUUGGGCGUGGGUCCAGUCUGAUGCUUUCUCAGUUGUUUCAAUUUAGCUACUGUGGCAUGUCCUGCCAGCUGUGCCAACCACUCUUCUGUUGAUCCCUUGAUGACAUUUCGGGUGUCUUUAGCACCCUCCAGGACCUCCUCAAAAGUGAUCUUCAGACUGGGGGAAAGGGUUCCCACUCGUAUUCUCUCUGCAAUAAUCUUCCUAUAUUCUGUCUUUAUCAACUCAGUCCUUUUCUUCUCAACCUGUUUGUCCCCUUCACGCCAAUGUUCAGCUUUCCUUGGCGAUGCUGAUGUCUUGGCACCUGCUGCAAGCUGGCAUCUCUUUUCACUAAUCUGCUUCGCCGUUUUUGUAGGCAAAUGCUCACCAAUCAGCUUGUUCACAAAGCGCUCGUUCUUGUAUUUCUUCUCUAUCAAUAGCGCCGUCUCCUCUUCAGUCCAACAGCUCUUAUGCAUGCCUCGGAUUCCUUUUACCUUCGGACAAGAUGACUCAAUCCUUUCCUUGUUCCUACGCAGUGGAUGCACAAGCCUUUUGUGCUGAGAGAGACCACUCUUGGUCUUAAACUCUCGGUUACAUUCUUCACACAGGAAGCUGCUGGGGCCCUCCGGCCCCCUGGCAUCUUGGGAACUGGCAGGCUAUACUGUGAUGUUUCUCAUUUGUUCUCCCAGAUCGGGAGCAUUGAAACAGGAUUUGUUGCCGACCGUGCGCUCUUCGAAGAUGGUCAGUUAGCAUCGCCAUUCUUGCCAUCUUCACACCACAGCAUGGACGUGCUGGAUGUUCAUCGGGGACCUUCACGAUUGGUGUACUCACACCAGUUGCUUCCCCCCCGGUGUCAAGAAUGGGACUCGCCACAGCCAGAACAGGGAUUGCGGGCCCAGAGGGAGAUGUCGGCACACUAUCUACCACGUCCUCCUCCGGCACUUCUUCAGUAGCGGUCACGGGAGGUGAUCCAAUAGGUGCCAGCACCUCAUAAACCUCCGGCAGAUCUUUUACGCAAUCAUAGGGUGGUUCAGGAUAAAUCCCUCCCCAACUGACAUAAUCCGAAUUAUAAAAUGUCAAAUUUGGUAAAUGGUAGGCCAACUCGUUAGUUGUUAUUACUGCUGGGAUAACCCUCGCGGCCGUGCAGGGAAAAUCCCUGGUCUGAGUGGCCACCGAGACAAAAUUGACAACCCAUGAUUUUAUUGGGUUGUUCAUGGUGUCUAUGGGGGUUCAGAAUACAACCAGAAGAACCAGCCCCCAAGUUCAACUGGUGUGCCUUUAGUUAGCCCUUAAGCCAAGGGUUUUGGACGCACGAAUGUAUAAUUCGCGGUCAGAUCAAUUUAGUUUCACCUCGAAUACUACCGAGUGGUCGGUGAAGCCAGUCAGUAGGGUAGGAAGUAACUAUAAUUCCGCAAUCACACUGGGGCAGAGGCUAACUUGGUUACCCAGAGAUGGGCAUCCAGCAGGACCACGAGGAGGUGUAGCCUCUGCAGCUAAGCCCAGCUAGUAACUAUGGCCCCAUCUUAAGAGAGUCAUAGUUACUCCCGACUUCAUUCUUUUUUGUCUAUGCCUGCUGCUAUUAUUAUUAAAUAUAUUUAAACUUAUGUCAGUUUCAUAGUAGCAAACACACUUUAGCAUUUAGUUUAAACUAAGUUUGGGUUAAGAAAUGAGUUGCCAACAUACUCUCAUUUGAAGCAUCUGAUCAGAAAUGUCUUUCCUGCAAAGCCAAAUGAAAGUUACCUUUUUUCCCUGAUGUAUUUGAGUCCAUAUUUUUAAGUGUUCCAGUAAUAUGAAGGGAGAGUUGGACUUGGCUCCUCUCAGAGGAACAGCAGUCAGCAAAAGCCUCUUAGUCCUCUUAGCCUGAGGAAUGUGUCUCUAACAGAUUGCCAGGAAAGAUUAACUGCUGCAGGUAGCACAGCUGCUGGUUCAAACAAUUUUGAUCUUUUUAUAUCUUGUGCUCAUUCUGUUUCCACAUGGAAUUGGUCCGCUUGUUAUGGAGGGCCGCAGGUAGCACAGCUGCUGGUUCAGAAGAGUCUGGUUCACUUAUAUCUUCUGUGCAUUGUUUCUAUAUAGAACUGGCCCAGUUGUUUUGGAGAGCCCCAAGGAAACCAUUUUACAAAAUAUUUGCUAACCUUUUCAAGGAGUGAAAUAUGUUCUCUCUUUUUUCAUCUUUGCAGUGGAAAAGCUUUUUCUUCAAAACUGGUAGUUACUGUAGUUUCUUUGCAUAGACUUUUCCUAAGAGAGUGUAAAAAAAAAAAAAAGAAAGAUACCAUUUAAAAAGAUGGAUUAGAAAAACUAUAAAUAUAAAAAUCCCCAUGCUUAACUGUUUCUCAGUAUGCACAGAGACUCUCUGCAUACCACUUCAGGUUUUCAGUAGUCCGUAAGGGUGGGAUGCAUUCCUUCUGACUUUCACCAUUUAGAAGGUGGGUGACCAGUCUAAGCUGUCCUCCAGUCUCACUCUAUAACUAGUCAACAGAAGUAGACAGCUACAUGUUUACCCAUCCUAAAAAGAUUGAGUGGGAUUAAUUUCCCAUGUGGUGUGCCUUUUUUUAAUGUGGGUUUUUAUUUUUUUAGGAGUGCAUGAAUUGGGGAUGCAGAAAAAAACUGAUGUUUCUCCAUAUGAGCUUACAGGAUUUAUUAUCUCAGAGAAAGUUGUGUUAACUUGCUUAUACUGCAAAGAUAAUAGGCAUGUACACUGCUGGAUGCCCUGGCCAAUUCAUAUAUAUGCUUUUUUGGGAACCUCUGGACCACCUUCUGCUGCACAGUAAAGAUAUGGCUUAGGUACUUUUGUCAUUCUUGAAGGUGCAGUUUAGGUUUCCUAUUAGAAAUUACAAAAAUACAAACACAAAUACUGAAGAGCUACUCCAGGUUCCAAAUGCUAUGUCAACAUGAUGGACUAAGGAUAGCAUUUUGGUUACUGCACUUGUGUUCCCUAGAAAGACAAAGCCAGAAUGAUAAAUAAUGAUUUAAGCAGGACUGCUGCUUUCUCCUUUGAAGGAGUGCAGCAAUUCUGAGAGGUUAAGAAGUAGAGAGAUUAGUCAAGAUCAUGGCUGUGAUGGUGUGUUCCUUCCCCUCCCCCCUCUCCAACUGUAUGUGCUCUUCCCUGCACCCCACCCUGCAACCUGACCUCUCUGUAAAAAGCACAUAUCCAGGGGCUAGUUAAACAUAUGCCCACCUGAAUACGGCUGGUAUGCAAAUAUGACUACAAGUCAACCAUCUUACCCCAUGAACAGAAGGCAGCCCAGAGCCCACUGAGCUCUCUGGAGGAGUUUGGAAAGCAAGGGGGUCCAUUCUGAACCUCAUGACUCAACGGGAGGAUCUCCUUGACACUUUCAUCUGACCCUGUCCUCCAUGCAGUAAAUAACUGAGUGUACCUUGCCAUCAAAUCUUGUUAAAUCACUGUCUUAUUUACCGCUGAACUUUGUUAAAUCGCUGCCUUAUCUGAAUAAAACAUACUGCUGCUUCUCUCAUAUGAGUGAAGUACAUCA